GCUAAUACCGCAUAAGCGCACAGGAUUGCAUGAUCCGGUGUGAAAAACUCCGGUGGUAUGGGAUGGACCCGCGUCUGAUUAGCCAGUUGGCAGGGUAACGGCCUACCAAAGCGACGAUCAGUAGCCGACCUGAGAGGGUGACCGGCCACAUUGGGACUGAGACACGGCCCAAACUCCUACGGGAGGCAGCAGUGGGGAAUAUUGCACAAUGGGGGAAACCCUGAUGCAGCGACGCCGCGUGAGCGAAGAAGUAUUUCGGUAUGUAAAGCUCUAUCAGCAGGGAAGAAGAAUGACGGUACCUGACUAAGAAGCACCGGCUAAAUACGUGCCAGCAGCCGCGGUAAUACGUAUGGUGCAAGCGUUAUCCGGAUUUACUGGGUGUAAAGGGAGCGCAGGCGGUGCGGCAAGUCUGAUGUGAAAGCCCGGGGCUCAACCCCGGUACUGCAUUGGAAACUGUCGUACUAGAGUGUCGGAGGGGUAAGUGGAAUUCCUAGUGUAGCGGUGAAAUGCGUAGAUAUUAGGAGGAACACCAGUGGCGAAGGCGGCUUACUGGACGAUAACUGACGCUGAGGCUCGAAAGCGUGGGGAGCAAACAGG
rnacentral:rRNA from 1 species